rnacentral:rRNA from 1 species
UCGGGAAUUUUGGGCAAUGGGGGCAACCCUGACCCAGCAACGCCGCGUGAAGGAUGAAGUCCCUCGGGAUGUAAACUUCGAAAGAAUGGGAAGAAUCAAUGACGGUACCAUUUGUAAGCCCCGGCUAACUCCGUGCCAGCAGCCGCGGUAAUACGGAGGGGGCAAGCGUUGUUCGGAUUUACUGGGCGUAAAGCGCGUGUAGGCGGUUUGGUAAGUUACUUGUGAAAUCUCUGAGCUUAACUCAGAGCGGUCAAGUAAUACUGCCGAACUAGAGUGCAGAAGGGGCAACUGGAAUUCUUGGUGUAGCGGUGAAAUGCGUAGAUAUCAAGAGGAACACCUGAGGCGAAGGCGGGUUGCUGGGCUGACACUGACGCUGAGACGCGAAAGCUAGGGGAGCAAA